GGAAUUGUGGCUCAGUGGCAGAGCCCUUGCCUUGAAAGUAUGAAGCAUUGGGUUUGAUCCUCAGCACCA
rnacentral:tRNA from 1 species